GACGAACGCUGGCGGCGUGCUUAACACAUGCAAGUCGAACGGAAAGGCCCUGCUUGCAGGGUGCUCGAGUGGCGAACGGGUGAGUAACACGUGGGUGAUCUGCCCCUUACUUUGGGAUAAGCCUGGGAAACUGGGUCUAAUACUGGAUAGGACCAUGCUGUAGGUGGUGUGGUGGAAAGAUUAGUUUCGGUAAGGGAUGAGCUCGCGGCCUAUCAGCUUGUUGGUGGGGUAAUGGCCUACCAAGGCGUCGACGGGUAGCCGGCCUGAGAGGGUGGACGGCCACAUUGGGACUGAGAUACGGCCCAGACGCCUACGGGAGGCAGCAGUGGGGAAUAUUGCACAAUGGGCGCAAGCCUGAUGCAGCGACGCCGCGUGGGGGAUGACGGCCUUCGGGUUGUAAACUCCUUGCAGCCAUGACGAAGCCCUUGUGGUGACGGUAGUGGUAGAAGAAGCACCGGCUAACUACGUG
rnacentral:rRNA from 1 species